CUACGCUCCUACGGGAGGCAGCAGUGGGGAAUAUGCACAAUGGGCGCAAGCCUGAUGCAGCCAUGCCGCGUGUAUGAAGAAGGCCUUCGGGUUGUAAAGUACUUUCAGCAGUGAGGAAGGUGGGUAUGUUAAUAGCAUACUCAUUUGACGUUAGCUGCAGAAGAAGCACCGGCUAACUCCGUGCCAGCAGCCGCGGUAAUACGGAGGGUGCGAGCGUUAAUCGGAAUUACUGGGCGUAAAGCGCAUGCAGGUGGUUUGUUAAGUCAGAUGUGAAAGCCCGGGGCUCAACCUCGGAAUUGCAUUUGAAACUGGCAAACUAGAGUACUGUAGAGGGGGUAGAAUUUCAGGUGUAGCGGUGAAAUGCGUAGAGAUCUGAAGGAAUACCGGUGGCGAAGGCGGCCCCCUGGACAGAUACUGACACUCAGAUGCGAAAGCGUGGGGAGCAAACAGGAUUAGAUACCCUGGUAG
rnacentral:rRNA from 1 species